rnacentral:rRNA from 1 species
GAUGAACGCUAGCGGGAGGCUUAACACAUGCAAGUCGAGGGGCAUCACGAGGUAGCAAUACUUUGGUGGCGACCGGCGCACGGGUGAGUAACACGUAUGCAACCUACCCUGUACAGGGGGAUAACCCGGAGAAAUUCGGACUAAUAUUCCAUAAUGAUAUUUUAGGGCAUCCUUUAAUAUUUAAAGCUUUGGCGGUACAGGAUGGGCAUGCGCAACAUUAGCUAGUUGGGAGGGUAACGGCCUACCAAGGCUAUGAUGUUUAGGGGACCUGAGAGGGUGAUCCCCCACACUGGUACUGAGACACGGACCAGACUCCUACGGGAGGCAGCAGUGAGGAACAUUGGUCAAUGGGCGGAAGCCUGAACCAGCCAUCCCGCGUGCAGGAAGACAGCCCUAUGGGUUGUAAACUGCUUUUCCAGUGGGCGAACCCCUCGUACGUGUACGGGAUUGACGGUACACUGGGAAUAAGCAUCGGCUAACUCCGUGCCAGCAGCCGCGGUAAAAGUGUGUGUAC